UACGAAGGGGGCUAGCGUUGCUCGGAAUGACUGGGCGUAAAGGGCGCGUAGGCGGAUGGCACAGUCAGAUGUGAAAUUCCCGGGCUUAACCUGGGGGCUGCAUUUGAUACGUGUUGUCUUGAGUUCGGAAGAGGGUCGUGGAAUUCCCAGUGUAGAGGUGAAAUUCGUAGAUAUUGGGAAGAACACCGGUGGCGAAGGCGGCGACCUGGUCCGACACUGACGCUGAGGCGCGAAAGCGUGGGGAGCAAACAGG
rnacentral:rRNA from 1 species